GACAGAGGGUGCAAACGUUGUUCGGAAUUACUGGGCGUAAAGCGCACGUAGGCGGCUUGGUAUGUCGGGUGGGAAAUCCCCGGGCUCAACCUGGGAACUGCAUCCGAAACUGCCUUGCUCGAGUAUGGGAGAGGGAAGUGGAAUUUCCGGUGUAGCGGUGAAAUGCGUAGAUAUCGGAAGGAACAUCAGUGGCGAAGGCGACUUCCUGGACCAAUACUGACGCUCAGGUGCGAAAGCGUGGGGAGCAAACAGG
rnacentral:rRNA from 1 species